UACGGGGGGGGUAAGCGUUGUUCGGAAUUACUGGGCGUAAAGGGCUCGUAGGCGGCCAACUAAGUCAGACGUGAAAUCCCUCAGCUUAACUGGGGAACUGCGUCUGAUACUGGAUGGCUUGGAUUUGGGAGAGGGAUGCGGAAUUCCAGGUGUAGCGGUGAAAUGCGUAGAUAUUGGGAAGAACACCUGUGGCGAAGGCGGCAUCCUGGACCAAUUCUGACGCUGAGGAGCGAAAGCCAGGGGAGCAAACGGG
rnacentral:rRNA from 1 species